AUUAUUAAUAUCUAGGAGUAAUAAUACCAUUUAAUUAAAAUGAAUCAAGUUUUAGUAAAUUUUAUUUACUGAUGUUUUACACCGAUAUCUACUGAAAUUUCUGUAACUUCAAGCGUGAAGAUUUAUACUCUUAUAUAAUUCAUAAGAGAAACGUAUACAUGUAUUUUUAAUUCGUACACGUAAUGGCUAUACAGUAGAAGGUGCGUGAUGUCGUCUGCAUCAAACGUGACGUUGUUUAUUACCAUGGUAACGAGACCGCGAACUUCUACGUUUUAAUAUAACGGAAGAAAGAACAGAAAUCAAAUAUAGGAAAAGGCAUUUUCUGGCUUUCCUUUCACGUAUCAGAGCUACAGGAAUCACUAUUUUUGCAUCUUGAAGCCAUGUUUGCAAAGGAAUUAGCAUAAAUGAAAAUGAAGAGAAGAAUGAUAUCACAUAGACAGAGCCUGUUGUUUCAAGUGAGAACUCCAGCCAAAGACUGAUGUGAGACCCAGUGUUUAGUGCAAAACAAAUAAAUGAUUCAGAGUAAUGAGAAGCUACAAAGACUUCAUGCAUGCAUGCACUUUAAAAAACAACAUGAUUUAGUUCACAAUUAAUAAGGUGACCAACUAUUUUACAAUGAAAAGGAAGACGCAAAUAAAUUGAAGGAAAAAAUAUCAUAAUAAAAGAAACAUUUUAUUCAUUGCAACAAUAAUACACUAUAAUAAUAUCUACUGCAUGUGUAUGUGCUGUGUAAUAUUUCAGUAAGAAGUAAACAAAGCCACUUCCACACGGCACGCUCUCUCAAAGUCUUUUGUGCAGAGCACAUGCGUCUCAUAAUCACAUCUUGUCGCACUGUACCAAGCCUUGACAAAUCAUCAUGUUAAAUAUAAACACAUCACAUACAACGGAUCGGCUUGGCAUCAAUCGAAUAUGGAGAUUUACAGAUUAGUCUUCAAAUAUCGAAAAGGAGGACAUGUAGGAGGAUACUUUUCGAGGGAGGACAGAACUUAAAAAAGAAGUCUCUAAAAGAGGACAAUUGGUCACCUUACAAUUAAGAGUAUUUUAUGUAUUUUCCAUAUUUUUCCAGACCUUAAUAAAUCUUAAACUGCUCAUGGCAAGUCUCUGUAUGGCAGGGUCCUGCUGUAUAUUAUUUCAUUUAUAAACACUUGAAGAGAAAAAUUUUAGUUAUCACAUACAAAGGAAAAUAUUUUGAUUAUUUAUUAAAGUAUAUAAAGUUCUAAAUAACAGUUUCUUGUAUAAAUUUGUAUAUUAAAAUUUAUACAAAUUUCUGCAUUUAAAUAAAUAAAUUAUUUAUAAUUAUUAAGUACAAUUUCAGUAUUAUUUGCCUGCACUAUUAUUUUGUUAAACACAGCAACUAAAGUUUAAUAUACUUGU